GAUGAACGCUGGCGGCGUGCCUAAUACAUGCAAGUCGAGCGAACAGACGAGGAGCUUGCUCCUCUGACGUUAGCGGCGGACGGGUGAGUAACACGUGGAUAACCUACCUAUAAGACUGGGAUAACUUCGGGAAACCGGAUCUAAUACCGGAUAAUAUAUUGAACCGCAUGGUUCAUUAGUGAUAUACGGUUUUGCUGUCGCUUAUAGAUGGAUCCGCGCCGCAUUAGCUAGUUGGUAAGGUAACGGCUUACCAAGGCAACGAUGCGUAGCCGACCUGAGAGAGUGAUCGGCCACACUGGAACUGAGACACGGUCCAGACUCCUACGGGAGGCAGCAGUAUGGAAUCUUCCGCAAUGGUCGAGAGCCUGACGGAGCAACGCCGCGUGAGUGAUGAAGGCCUUCGGAUCGUAAAACUCUGUUAUUAGGGAAGAACAAAUUUGUAAGUAACUGUGCACGUCUUGACGGUACCUAAUCAGAAAGCCACGGCUAACUACGUG
rnacentral:rRNA from 1 species